GACAGAGGGUGCAAACGUUGUUCGGAAUUACUGGGCGUAAAGCGCGUGUAGGCGGCCAUGCAAGUCGGAUGUGAAAGCCCUCGGCUCAACCGGGGAAGUGCACUCGAAACUGCAAGGCUAGAGUCUCGGAGAGGAUCGUGGAAUUCUCGGUGUAGAGGUGAAAUUCGUAGAUAUCAGGAGGAACACCGGUGGCGAAGGCGGGAUCCUGGGCCAGUACUGACGCUGAGGAGCGAAAGCGUGGGGAGCAAACAGG
rnacentral:rRNA from 1 species